rnacentral:rRNA from 1 species
UGGGGAAUAUUGCACAAUGGGGGGAACCCUGAUGCAGCGACGCCGCGUGAGCGAGGAAGUAUUUCGGUAUGUAAAGCUCUAUCAGCAGGGACGAAAAAAGACGGUACCUGACUAAGAAGCCCCGGCUAACUACGUGCCAGCAGCCGCGGUAAUACGUAGGGGGCAAGCGUUAUCCGGAUUUACUGGGUGUAAAGGGAGCGUAGACGGCAAGGCAAGCCAGAAGUGAAAGGGCAGGGCUCAACCCUGUACAUGCUUUUGGAACUGUGGUGCUAGAGUGCAGGAGAGGUAAGUGGAAUUCCUAGU